rnacentral:lncRNA from 1 species
GGACUAUAUUUAUAGACAACCAAUAUACGAGUGACCAAACAGGUCGUUUUUGAAAAAAAUCUUCUUUUUCUAUUAAGUCCUUUGAUCUUCUCUUCUGCAUUUUCUCAAUUUAUUAUGCAUGAAAUUACACCUUAACUGCAUGUUUGAAAAUAUGUAGUGUGCAACAAACAGAAUGUGGGGUAUACGUCAAUGAGACAGCAACCUAGCGACAAAAAUAAGCAAACGAC